UUUGAUUCCUGCCACCAAAAUAAUUGACUAAUUCUUCGACUAUCAAUUCAAUUUCUCACAUCUAAAUCCAACAUCAACCAACCCAUAACAAAGAUUCAAACAUGCUCAAACAACAAAUCAUUUUCGAUUAAUUAACCAACUUCAACAUAGAAUCACCCAAAACAAAUAGACUUGCUCAACCACACAAUCAAGAUCAUAUCAUCAACCAAAGCAUUUCAUCCAUAACAUUGGGUAUCGUAAAUAAAGAAAUAAAAUAUAGUAGAGG
rnacentral:lncRNA from 1 species